rnacentral:rRNA from 1 species
UCGAACGGAAUAAUGGCUUCGGCUAUUAUUUAGUGGCGGAAGGGUUAGUAAUACAUAGAUAAUUUGUUCUUAACUUGGGAAUAACGGUUGGAAACGGCCGCUAAUACCGAAUGUGGUGUGUUUAGGCAUCUAAAUUACAUUAAAGAAGGGGAUCUUCGGACCUUUCGGUUAAGAGAAAGUCUGUGGGAUAUCAGCUUGUUGGUGGGGUAAUGGCCUACCAAGGCUAUGACGUCUAGGCGGAUUGAGAGAUUGACCGCCAACACUGGGACUGAGACACUGCCCAGACUCCUACGGGAGGCUGCAGUCGAGAAUCUUUCGCAAUGGACGAAAGUCUGACGAAGCGACGCCGCGUGUGUGAUGAAGGCUCUAGGGUUGUAAAGCACUUUCGCCUGGGAAUAAGAGAGAUUGGCUAAUAUCCAAUUGAUUUGAGCGUACCA